GGUUUCGUGGUGUAGUGGUUAUCACAUCUGCUUAACACGCAAAAGAUCACGGGUUCAAAACCCGUCGAAACCU
rnacentral:tRNA from 1 species